GUACAAAACAAUCAAUAAAUUGUUGGUCGAUAACGUUUCGUUUUUGGCCGCCGUAAUUCAACAACCCGACGUAGCCGUGAUCGUCUAGUGGUUAGGACCCCACGUUGUGGCCGUGGUAACCCAGGUUCGAAUCCUGGUCACGGCAAUGCUUCAAUGCGCAUUGUCACGGAGUCGAGUUUUCUUUUUUUCUCGUGUACAAACCGAUGAACUGUCAAAUGAGAACCCUGAGCAAUUUCGUUCAUUUAUAAAAUAGUUUACAUACUUAAUUUAAUACUUAUACAAUUUUUUAAAAUUUUUUUUGGCAAAAGUGAAUAAUGGACUCGGGCUUUACGAAUAGUCACUCCGAAUCCGAUGUAUGCUAUGACAAGGAAAAAUUUUCCAGAGAUGAAGAGAACAUGGAAAAAUUUUAUGCAACCAUAGGGAAUAUAUCCAGAAACAUGCGGAAAGGGGAUUGGACAUAUUUACAACGACAUCCGGAAAUACGAGCCAUAAUACGUACAAUAAUAACGGAGGCCAUUGAGAAGAAGCCAAACGACAUUUUUCAAUUUACAGCUAAUCUAUUUCAGUGCAAAAAUGAACCAGUAUUAGUGCGAAAGGUUGGUCAUUUAUUUAUGUGCUUUUUAAAUAAUUUGAAAUAACAUCGGACUGUUUACAAGAUUAACAAGCAACUGAGAUUGGUUAACAAGCAGCUGAGGGGCGGACAGUGGUCUCCCGCUGAUGGGGAAAUUGUAUUUUCCGAGACCAGUGAUGUUUUCACAGAAGUGAAAUCCGAAUGCAAGCCCAACUUGACGCAAACAGUUGUUAAUGUGCAACCAAACGAAUCCGUGGGUCCAGAAAACUUUAAGCCAGUUUGUCCUGUAAAUUUGGAACCCAAAUGCUAACAUUCCUCUGUUUCUGUUAUCGCAAAUUUUUGCAUUGGAAAGGUGUUUCCAUAAUUAAACAAUAUAAUGCUGAGUUGAAAACUGUG
rnacentral:tRNA from 1 species